rnacentral:rRNA from 1 species
GACGAACGCUGGCGGCGUGCUUAACACAUGCAAGUCGAACGGAAAGGCCCUGCUUUUGUGGGGUGCUCGAGUGGCGAACGGGUGAGUAACACGUGAGUAACCUGCCCUUGACUUUGGGAUAACUUCAGGAAACUGGGGCUAAUACCGGAUAGGAGCUCCUGCUGCAUGGGGGGGGUGGGAAAGUUUCGGCGGUUGGGGAUGGACUCGCGGCUUAUCAGCUUGUUGGGGGGGGAGUGGCUUACCAAGGCGUUGACGGGUAGCCGGCCUGGGAGGGUGACCGGCCCCAUUGGUCCUGCGAUACGCACCAGACUCCUACGUGAGGCAGCAGUGGGGAAUCUUGCACAGUGGGCGGAAGCCUGAUGCAGCAACGCCGCGUUCGGGAUGACCGCCUUCGGGUUGUAAACCGCUUUCGCCUGUGACGAAGCGUGAGUGACGGUAAUGGGUAAAGAAGCACCGGCUAACUACGUG